rnacentral:rRNA from 1 species
UACGGGGGGGGCAAGCGUUGUUCGGAAUUACUGGGCGUAAAGGGCUCGUAGGCGGCCAACUAAGUCCGACGUGAAAUCCCCAGGCUUAACCUGGGAACUGCGUCGGAUACUGGAUGGCUUGAAUCCGGGAGAGGGAUGCGGAAUUCCCGGUGUAGCGGUGAAAUGCGUUGAUAUCGGGAGGAAUACCCGUGGCGAAGGCGGUCCACUGGGCAUCAACUGACGCUGAGGCGCGAAAGCGUGGGUAGCAAACAGG